GUGCUCACUUCGCCAGCACAUAAACUAAAUUUGAAAUAAUACAAGGAAGAUCAGCAUGGCCCCUGCACAAGGAGGACAUGCAAAUUCAUAAAGCCUUCCAUAUUGUU
ensembl:snRNA U6 U6 spliceosomal RNA